AUAAAUGAUCGUGUUUCUCCUCUAAGACAAUGCAACACAAACUAAAUGUUCUCAGUCAGUACUCGAUUGGAAUCUCUUUUUGCUUUGGAAAUAUGAAUAGGACAUUUUCUUGGAUGUUUUUAGCGCUAGUUUUGCUAUCUUUUGCAUGCUGGGGAAGCACAUUUUCACCCAAUAUGAACUGUCCUUCACACGUGUGCCGAAAACGAAAAGUGGCGCGAAAAUUCAGUGAGCAACAGGAGGAUUAUAUAAAAGCAUAUUGUGACAGGGUCCGUCCGUGUAAUGGGGCAAACGAAAAACGAAGUCCUCUUCGCGGAGAAGCUCCAGUUGAGAGAGACCGGGAACAGCUCUGACUUUGAAGCCAAGAUGACUAUCACUACAGCUAGAGGAAGAUCAAAAAUUUAUUCAAACCACUGCAUAUUUUCUUUAACUUAUGUAUAAGAUAAAAAAAGAAUAUAUGAAUAUUCAUGUCUGUAAUUUUAAACUUGAGAUAGUAGAUUGUGUGGAUCAGGUAUUAUUUUUAAGACUCCAGUCACGUGUAUCAAAUAAAGAAUCGAUUCUAUUUCUUGACAUAA